UACGGGGGGGGCAAGCGUUGUUCGGAAUUACUGGGCGUAAAGGGCUCGUAGGCGGCCAACUAAGUCGGACGUGAAAUCCCUCAGCUUAACUGGGGAACUGCGUCCGAUACUGGAUGGCUUGGAUUCGGGAGAGGGAUGCGGAAUUCCAGGUGUAGCGGUGAAAUGCGUAGAUAUCUGGAGGAACACCGGUGGCGAAGGCGACUCUUUGGCCUGUAACUGACGCUGAGGAGCGAAAGCGUGGGGAGCGAACAGG
rnacentral:rRNA from 1 species